rnacentral:rRNA from 1 species
UCGUCACACUAUCAUUAACUGAAUCCAUAGGUUAAUGAGGCGAACCGGGGGAACUGAAACAUCUAAGUACCCCGAGGAAAAGAAAUCAACCGAGAUUCCCCCAGUAGCGGCGAGCGAACGGGGAGCAGCCCAGAGCCUGAAUCAGUGUGUGUGUUAGUGGAAGCGUCUGGAAAGGCGCGCGAUACAGGGUGACAGCCCCGUACACAAAAAUGCACAUGCUGUGAGCUCGAUGAGUAGGGCGGGACACGUGGUAUCCUGUCUGAAUAUGGGGGGACCAUCCUCCAAGGCUAAAUACUCCUGACUGACCGAUAGUGAACCAGUACCGUGAGGGAAAGGCGAAAAGAACCCCGGCGAGGGGAGUGAAAAAGAACCUGAAACCGUGUACGUACAAGCAGUGGGAGCACAGAGCAAUCUGUGUGACUGCGUACCUUUUGUAUAAUGGGUCAGCGACUUAUAUUCUGUAGCAAGGUUAACCGAAUAGGGGAGCCGAAGGGAAACCGAGUCUUAACUGGGCGUUAAGUUGCAGGGUAUAGACCCGAAACCCGGUGAUCUAGCCAUGGGCAGGUUGAAGGUUGGGUAACACUAACUGGAGGACCGAACCGACUAAUGUUGAAAAAUUAGCGGAUGACUUGUGGCUGGGGGUGAAAGGCCAAUCAAACCGGGAGAUAGCUGGUUCUCCCCGAAAGCUAUUUAGGUAGCGCCUCGUGAAUUCAUCUCCGGGGGUAGAGCACUGUUUCGGCAAGGGGGUCAUCCCGACUUACCAACCCGAUGCAAACUGCGAAUACCGGAGAAUGUUAUCACGGGAGACACACGGCGGGUGCUAACGUCCGUCGUGAAGAGGGAAACAACCCAGACCGCCAGCUAAGGUCCCAAAGUCAUGGUUAAGUGGGAAACGAUGUGGGAAGGCCCAGACAGCCAGGAUGUUGGCUUAGAAGCAGCCAUCAUUUAAAGAAAGCGUAAUAGCUCACUGGUCGAGUCGGCCUGCGCGGAAGAUGUAACGGGGCUAAACCAUG